CAUGUACUCCCUCCGUACGGAAAUACUUGUCAUCAAAAUGAAUAAAAGGGGAUGUAUUUAGAUGUAUUUUAGUUUUAGAUACAUCCUUUUUUGUCCAUUUUGAUGACAAGUAUUUUCGGACGGAGGGAGUACGUG
rnacentral:pre_miRNA from 1 species